CAAUAGCGUAUAUUAAAGUUGUUGCAGUUAAAAAGCUCGUAGUUGGAUUUGUGGCUGUCGCGGGCGGCCUGACACUUUGUGUUAGUGCUUGCUUGCGUCGCCAUCCUUGGGUGGAACCUGUGUGGCAUUAGGUUGUCGUGCAGGGGAUGCCCAUCGUUUACUGUGAGAAAAUUAGAGUGUUCAAAGCAGGCUUAUGCCGUUGAAUAUAUUAGCAUGGAAUAAUAAGAUAGGACCUUGGUACUAUUUUGUUGGUUUGCGCACCAAGGUAAUGAUUAAUAGGGACAGUUGGGGGUAUUCGUAUUCCAUUGUCAGAGGUGAAAUUCUUGGAUUUUUGGAAGACGAACUACUGCGAAAGCAUUUACCAAGGAUGUUUNCAUUAA
rnacentral:rRNA from 1 species